rnacentral:rRNA from 1 species
GAUGAACGCUGGCGGCGUGCCUAAUACAUGCAAGUCGAGCGAACAGACGAGGAGCUUGCUCCUCUGACGUUAGCGGCGGACGGGUGAGUAACACGUGGAUAACCUACCUAUAAGACUGGGAUAACUUCGGGAAACCGGAGCUAAUACCGGAUAAUAUAUUGAACCGCAUGGUUCAAUAGUUAAAUACGGUUUUGCUGUCACUUAUAGAUGGAUCCGCGCCGCAUUAGCUAGUUGGUAAGGUAACGGCUUACCAAGGCAACGAUGCGUAGCCGACCUGAGAGGGUGAUCGGACACACUGGAACUGAGACACGGACCAGAGUCCUACGGGAGGCAGCAGUAGGGAAUCUUGCGCAAUGGGCGAAAGCCUGACGGAGCAAAGCCGCGUGAGUGAUGAAGGUCUUCGGAUCGUAAAACUCUGUUAUUAGGGAAGAAAAAAUGUGUAAGUAACUAUGCACGUAUUGACGGUACCUAAUCAGAAAGCCACGGCUAACUACGUG